GCUCAUUCCGCGAGACCCCGGAAGUAAAUCGUGGAUUUUGGUGACGCUGCAUUAGACGUGCAAGACAUGGACCGGUCUCGGCUGCUCGGGUUGUUCCUCCUCCUCAGCCUGGCUCUUUGUGGAGCUCAGGGUCUCACACCGUCUCACUACCUGUCCCUGUCCGACGUGGCCCGGCUGCAGAACCUCCUGAACCAGGACUUCACCGACCUGGAGUCCGCAUACUACUCUGUUCUAGGUCUGACCAAGCUUGGAGCAACAGUUCCAAAUCACAAGCAUGUGUGCGGCUUCCUGAAAUCCCAGCUUGAUCCCACUAGUGUUGACUCUGUCUUCUUUGCUGCUGAGGCCAGUCAGGCCCUUUCAGGAUGUGAGAUCCCUGUGUCCAAUGAAACCCGUGACAUCCUCCAGGCGGCGGUUAGUGAAGACUCGACCAUGACUCAGAUCCACCGGGCUGUGAGCGCGCUCAGCUCUCUGGGGCUUCCUUUCGCUUCCCAGGAGGUCGUCGCUGCCCUGACAGCUCGCAUGAGCAAGGAGGACAAUGUUUUGGCCAUCACCUCGGCUCUGCAAACAGCCUCACGUCUGUCCAGGCAAGCUGAACUCGGAGGAAUCCUGGAGGAAAUUGAGGAUCUGACCGUUCGCUUGGAUGAUCUCGGCGGCAUGUACCUCCAGUUUGAAGAGGGACUCGAGGCCACCGCCAUGUUUGUGACUGCCGCGUACUCGCUGUCCAAUCACGUGGACAUGGAGCCUCCUCUCAAGGAGGACCAGGUUAUCCAGCUGGUGAACUCCAUCUUCAGCAAGAAGUCUUGGGACUCUCUGUCCGAGGCUUUCAGUGUGGCCAGUGCUGCCCAGACUCUGUCCAGCAACCGCUUCCAUGUCCCGGUCAUCGUCAGCGCUCAGGGCCCAGCCACCGUGUCCCACAGCCAGCCGACCCUCCAGCUCCUGGUUACGGACGUCAUGUCUCAGCCUCUGGCCUCAGCCAACGUGUUGGUGGAGUCUGCGUACGCUGUGGCCUCCAAGAGCAUCGUUCUCAGCCAGGCGCCUUUUACGCUGAACGAUGGCGUCUUCGAGCUCAACUUCAUGUCCAGUCAGCCGGCCAGUGGUUAUUACCAGUUCACUGUCGCAGUGACCGGGGACAGUCGGCUGGUGGCCAAUCAUGUUGAGCUUAAAGUGAAGGUUUCCACUGAAGUGGCUGUUGCCAACAUGGACCUCUCUGUGGUGGAUAAGGACCAGAGCAUCGGCACCAAGACCAGCAGAGUGGAUUAUCCCUCCAAAGCCAAGGGCUCCUUCACAGCAGACAGCCACCAGAACUUCGCCAUGUCCUUCCAGCUGGUCGACGUCAACACCGGAGUGGAGCUCACUCCUCACCAGACAUUUGUGCGGCUGCACAAUCAGAAAACCGGCCAGGAGGUUGUGUUCGUGGCCGAACCCGACAGCAAGAACCUGUACAAGUUUGAGUUGGACACGGCCGAGCGGAAAUCAGAGUUCGACUCCAUGUCCGGUACCUAUUCCCUGUACCUCAUCGUCGGGGAUGCGACGCUGGAGAAUCCCAUCCUGUGGAACGUGGCUGAUGUUGUUCUGAAGUUUGUGGAUGAGGAGGCACCAGCCACCAUUCAGCCGAAGACUCUUUACGUGCCCAAACCAGAGAUCCAGCACCUGUUCAGGGAACCAGAGAAGAAGCCUCCCACCGUGGUUUCCAACACCUUCACUGCACUCAUCCUGUCGCCUUUCCUCCUCCUGCUCAUUCUGUGGUUUAAGCUCGGAGCCAACAUCUCCAACUUCAGCUUCUCUCCGAGCACCAUUCUGUUCCAUGUAGGACACGCAGCCUUGCUGGGCCUCAUGUACGUCUACUGGACCCACCUCAACAUGUUCCAGACCCUGAAGUACCUGGCCAUCAUAGGAGGCGUCACCUUCCUCGCCGGAAACCGCAUGCUCGCCCAGAAAGCAGUGAAGAGGAUUGCAGCAGAGCAGAGUAGUAGGUUGGCAAAGUAUAGGAGCCUCCGAUAAAGCCCCCCCCUCCCCGUCCUUCCCCCCCCUCCAUUUGUAACAAAUGAGUGGGUUCUGCUCCCGGGCUGAAAAUUGAGAAAAAAUAAGGGCAAGAAAAUUGAAACGAAGACACUGAUGAGGCUCCUUUUUUUUUUUUUAAAUCUUUUUUUUUUUUGGGUGUGUGUGUGUGAUUGCUUCCGAGGAAUCGUUCAACAACAACAAAAUCAGACUUUUUAUAAAACAAAUGGCACGGAAGUUCAAGAAUCCAUUUGACAGUUUUUUUUUUGACAUGCAGUUUGUCCGUGAUGCCAGAACGGAAGAAAUUGAGACGUGGCAGCGCCUCUGGGAGACUGGACAAACACUCACACUGACAGAUUCUCCUGCAGAGGCCUGUAAAGCUACUGAUCAUUGCACUUCAUCUUCCUGUGAGAUUUGUUUUCUCAUUGUCCGACAUGUCAGUGCGCUGGGAUUUUUUAUUUUUUAUUUUUUUGUCACGGUGAUGCAAUUUGGGUUUUUUUUUUUUUUUUGUACAUUCCUCUUUGUUGUCACUCAGAGCUUAUUUCACCUCAUUACAGAAGCUCACACAGUUUUUUUUUUUUUUCAUCUGAUAACAAACCAUGGGCAGUGACGUUGGGGUUUGUCUGUGGUAUUUGCCUCCUAUUUGAUACAGAAGAAGAAAAAGUCCCUGAGAAAAAAAAUCUUGAUCAUUAAAAAAGUGGCCAAUUGGAGGAAAAUAUGUUUUUUUUUUUUGUAAUGAAAAAAAUAAAUAAGUGGAAGGUG